rnacentral:rRNA from 1 species
GCAGCAGGCGCGCAAAUUACCCACUCCCAGCUCGGGGAGGUAGUGACGAAAAAUAACGAUACGGGACUCAUCCGAGGCCCCGUAAUCGGAAUGAGUACACUCUAAACCCUUUAACGAGGAUCCAUUGGAGGGCAAGUCUGGUGCCAGCAGCCGCGGUAAUUCCAGCUCCAAUAGCGUAUAUUAAAGUUGUUGCGGUUAAAAAGCUCGUAGUCGAAUUUGUGUCUCGCGCCGUCCGGUUCAUCGUUCGCGGUGUCAACUGGCGUGUCGCGAGACGUCCUGCCGGCGGAUCGUUCGCAAGAACGGUCCAACUGACCCCGCCGCGGUGCUCUUCAUUGAGUGUCGAGGUGGGCCGGCACGUUUACUUUGAACAAACUAAGGUGCUUAAAGCAGGCUGAAAUUUUGCCAGAAUAUUUUAUGCAUGGAAUAAUGAAACAGGACCUCGAUUCUAUUUUGUUGGUUUUCGGAACCUCGAGGUAAUGAUUAACAGGAACGGAUGGGGGCAUUCGUAUUGCGACGUUAGAGGUGAAAUUCUUGGAUCGUCGCAAGACGGACAGAAGCGAAAGCAUUUGCCAAAAACGUUUUCAUUGAUCAAGAACGAAAGUUAGAGGUUCGAAGGCGAUCAGAUACCGCCCUAGUUCUAACCAUAAACUAUGCCAGCUAGCGAUCCGCCGACGUUCCUCCGAUGACUCGGCGGGCAGCUUCCGGGAAACCAAAGCUUUUGGGUUCCGGGGGAAGUAUGGUUGCAAAGCUGAAACUUAAAGGAAUUGACGGAAGGGCACCACCAGGAGUGGAGCCUGCGGCUUAAUUUGACUCAACACGGGAAACCUCACCAGGCCCGGACACCGGAAGGAUUGACAGAUUGAGAGCUCUUUCUUGAUUCGGUGGGUGGUGGUGCAUGGCCGU